GGAAAGUGUUCAGUGAUGACAAGGAUAGGCCAGACAGAUAUUUGCUUGCAAAGGAAUUCAUCAACCGUCCCGAUUAUGCAGAUCUUGAGAUUUUAUUUGGCGAGGAUGAACACAAGUCAGGACAAGGUCAAAGUUUCUUUGGAAAAGCAGGAAGCAUCUUUUCUUCAAAUAAUAGCUUCAUGAGGGCGAUAUGAUGAUCUUUUAAUACAUUUUCUCAUCAUUGUUGCAUCCCAACCUUAAAUUGUGGCUCAUGUCAAUUUAUGUGAUCACUUCAAAAUUCAUAUUAAAAUAACAGUACAGCUUGUAUAGUAUGCUGCAGUGCUACAUAAUGCAAGUAUAUAAAUGAUAUGGCAUUAAGGGGGGAAAUAAGUACAUACAUUAAUAGUAUGAUUAUAUUUCAACCUUGUAAUGAUAUUAUGACUAUUAUCUAAAAAAAAAUGGGAAAAGAUGAAUUUUCAAAUGUAGAGAGAGAGAAGGGGGCUUGUUUACUUCUGAAUUUCAAAUGCAUUUAUUAAUGGUAAUAUAUACACAGUUGAUC